ACAGGUCAGCAGCACGUGAAAUUGUACUUCGAGAAGGGACGUCAAAGUGGAAAGAGACCGACGUGCAUUAAGACGAGAAUAAAUUCCAACAGAGUCGAGAGACAUUUACAGGAUGGAGAGAAAGAGAGAGUGGUUGGUGGAGCGUAAGGUAGGUGAAAAGUCCGUUCUGUGUGAAUAGGUUCUGGAGGAAUAUAGUAGUAUUCUUGACCAUUCUCGGUGACACGCGCUCCGCUACCACUUUCUAUACAAUGUUUCCUGCUCAAGGAUUUUACGGCAGAAGCUUGUUGACGUUGAACGUGUUACGUAAAAUCACAAGUCACAAAUAUUAAAGUUAUUUUUAUUACACUGUAUUAUUCGCUUAAAUAUUAUACACUUAGGCGACUGAUCUAGUCUUCGAAAAAUGAAAACUAAGUGAAGCUUAGUGACGAUGAUGUGACGGAGGGGGGAAAGCGAUGAGUGGGUUUAAGGACGCAAAACGAGCUGAUUUGUUAAGGACAAGUUCUCAUUAGGAAAGUGAGGGAAAUAGAUCACUGCUAAUUGGCCGAUUUUCUAGGUGAGGUGAGGGAUUGGUGGGUGAGGAAGGGUGUUUAUCUUCCGAAAUAAACCGAUGUUAACCGAGAUAAAAGAUGUUUGUUUUUGUAUUGAAGGAGCUUAACCAUAAACAUGCCAAGAUUUAUGGUGGUGCCUUAAGAAUAUUGAGAGUACGUAAAAAGGAUUUGGUCGCCAUCUUGCUCCUCGGUGUGCGGCCUGGUUUCUGAUGUGGAUUAAGAUGUGGUUGAUGUUACUAACGAACCAUCCUUAGGAAAUUAUUUUCGAGACGCUCGGGGCGAGAACGAUCCUAAGGAGUGCUCGUAUCGUUGUAGCAGUAUGACGAAAAGGUCAAAGUGGGCGCAUCGAUCUUCAGAUAUCUUCCAGAGUGGAAGCCAGUCAAAGGUCAGAAUAAAGCAACCGGAGUAAAUGCGGCUAAACAGAAUCGGUUAUGUGAAUGAAGCCUUAGUAAAGCAAUACUGUGGAUGCUUUUAUUUCUUCGAUGUAAAAGGGAACGCCAUGCUUUCUACCUUCCUCCGUAACAGGUAUAAAGCGGAUAACAGGUAAAAUGGAAAGAGACAUUUUAUACGCGCGAUACUGGCAACUGGAAGCCUCGUUUCCGACACCCGGUAUCUUUAGAAAUAUCGAUGGUGUGACAAUGAUCAUACCCAAAUUCAUGCCAUUCCAUACUACUUGGCAGAGAACCGUUAGGUUUUGAUUUGAUCUUUGCACAUGGCCCAACUUUACAAUUACCCCAUUGCGCAUUGCAAGCGUUCGACCAUGAGACUAGUCUUGUGCACAGUUUGGCUAUGAUUUGAACAACUAUUUUAACUUCGCUACUU